UACGAGGGGGGCGAGCGUUGUUCGGAAUUAUUGGGCGUAAAGGGUGCGUAGGCGGUUCCGCAAGUCCUGUGUGAAAUCUUCGGGCUCAACUCGAAGUCUGCACGGGAAACUGCGGGGCUUGAGUGUGGGAGAGGUGAGUGGAAUUCCUGGUGUAGCGGUGAAAUGCGCAGAUAUCAGGAGGAACACCGAUGGCGAAGGCAGGUCUCUGGGCCGAUACUGACGCUGAGGAGCGAAAGCGUGGGGAGCGAACAGG
rnacentral:rRNA from 1 species